GAACUGGAACAAUCCUCCCAGUUCUUCCACCCACAUCCGUGUUACAGGAAGGACCAAACUUUGAACCCAACUAGACUUUUGUAGGAAAGCGGCUAAUGUGUUCCAGGAAGCUGUGUUAAGGGAACACAUGAAGCGAACGGCAGCUUGUGAGCUCACAGUCCUCUGCACAAAACCCUUCCCUGAGGGAAAGCAGAGUCACUUUGCAGUCAGGCCACAGUUUAGUUUCCACAGACUGAUGCCACCUAGUGGCGACACCAAAGCCUGGACAAGGAUAUCACCUUUCCACCUUUCACCUUUCACCUUUCAC